rnacentral:lncRNA from 1 species
AAAAGAAUCUCCAUCAUAGUAUUAGCUUAGGAUUCUUGAAACACAGGUUAAACCAAGAAAUUUACAGUGGCAUUUCAAAAAGGAUCAUACCAGCCAUGUUCCGAAGUGCAUUCUCAGCUGCCUGUUGCUGAGCAUGCUUCCUAGUCUUACCCAUUCCUACUCCAACUCUCUCACCGAUAAAGAAGACCUAAAGAUUAUUCAGGCUCAGAUUUCUGAACAUAAAACCUUAUGCCAUUUGUCGAAAUAUAGAUGCCAAAAUAAUUAUACACUUUUUUAUGAUCAACAAUGAUCGCAGCAGCACUCUCAUAUCAAAAUGAUUUUUUUCAAAGAUAGACAUUAAAAGACAGUUCAUAAGCACCACAAUUUUCAGACUCAAAUAUCAAGACAUACAGAUCCGUGAAUAUUAUUUUAUUUGGUUGUUUUUUAUUCAUAUGCUAAUUUUUUUUCCUUUUAUUAUUAGGCAGUGGACAUUAGAGGCAGAACAAUGAGCUCUGUAGUUUGAAGACGCUCCUGGUUUCGUCCCUAUCCCGAGUUCGUUGCUCCGAGAGAGGUACAUCUAUUUACCUUUAAUUUGUCCUUUUGUGUUUCAGAAUAAGAGUGUUAUGCGUUAUUGUGACUGAAAUAUUGAGCUUCUAGUUUGUAUCAGUUUGUUAGUUGAUACCAUUUGAUCUGUUGUCUUAAAGGUAACUUAGUCUUCUUCUAGUUUUUUCAAGAUGGUUUUGUAAUGACCCAAAAGCUCCUCUUAAGAAUUUUGAAUAUUUGUUUAACUUAAGUUAAUUAAUCAAUAGUUUAUGGACUAAAGUGAUAAUUUAUUUAAGACCCUAUACCCUUUAGACUAUAUUUAAUAAAAUAUGUGGAUAAAACCUAUCACUUUUAGUACUAAUUAAUUUUGAAAAGUAAAACAGAACGGAUGAAGGAUUUAUAGAUAGAACGGAGGAAGGGUUUAUAGCCGACUACAUAUUGCUGAAGGUAAGGAAUUUUAAUCUCUCCAUGCAUGCAAUUGAAUUAAUUCCUCUUCAUAAUUAUUUUGCUUUCAUUAAAUGCUAACUAUAUAUGUAUAUAAUAAAAUUAUAAUAGCAUAAAAAAAUUGAAAAGGGGUUGUGGGAAUUAAGAAAAAAAUGGCAGAUCUUAUAUCAAUAUGGUCCUGGCCAAUCAAAUUGUUGAAAGUAGUAAGGCCACCAUUGUUUUGUUUUUAUUAUUAAAUUAAUGUGGUACAUAUGAUAAAAGUGAAGGUGGUAGAGGUGAUGAUAUUAUCAUCAUUCUGGAGACUUGUAAACUUAGGGACAAAGGAUAGUGUUAACGUUACUAGUAUUAGUAUAAAAUUAUUGGAUAUCAAUUGGUCGAUAAGGGAAUUGGUUGGUUAGGAAUUUAUAUAUGUGUAUAAUUUUCAUACGUGCUACCAACAUUUCAAAUAAUAAUUAAGUUGAAUGCUCACUACAUGGUUUAGAUUGUUACUAUAUACAUUAAGGCCUUUGGGUUUAUUGAUUUUAACCAUUGAUUUCAUGACCAGUAAUUUCAAAAAAUUUGCAAUUUGUUAUGUUAUCAUCACCAUGUAAUUCUAGAUUUGAUACAUAAAAAUAGGUAACUAAAUAUUAGGUGUAUAAUAUGCUGGGGAAUGUCAUUACGAUAUUUGAAGGAAUUGGAAGAAUUCACAAGUUAAUGGGCAUCGAAAAUUAUGAACUUGCUUAUAAAUUUGGGUGAAUUUUUAAGGUGAAUGUCAAACACGUGAUAAGGUGGGUGUUGUUAGUUUCGAAAUCUUAUUGUGAAUAUAUACUUGAAUAGGUUGCAUCGAUUCGGAAGCUCAACGGAAAGGAAAGACUCAAGUCAUAGAGUGAUUAUUUGAUUGGCUAAGGCAAGUGAAUUUCUAAAUCCUUGUUAAGUGUAUGAAAUUCGUGUAUUUCCUUGUAUAGUGUUGAGAAUGACUUGGAGACUUGUUGCUUAUUUGUUGGUGUUGUAUUCCUCGUAGUAACUUGCGCUUUGUUAUCAAAAUGGUUAUCUCCUCAUUUUCAUUUGAGCAUGUCAAUUGCAUUGUAUCUGAGACAUGAUUGUUAUAAGGAUGUAUCAUUUCGAGGGUCGUAUCACACGCUGCGAUGGAUAUCAUAUUUUGAGGGACGUAUCGCGCGCUGCGAAGGUUACUAUUAUCGAGGGUCGUGUUGUGUCGUGCGCCGCGACAGAUGCAUGGAUAGAUAUGUCCCCCAUGGGUCCUGGACUGAGAGACAGCGGGUGUGUAUCGUUAGGGAAGACAUGCAUCACUAUACUUGACAUUACAUCUCAUGGCAUUGCACAUUUAUUAUUGAUGAACUUGAACACGUGUUUUGCUGAUCUUGUGAGUGUUUCUCUUUGAAGCUUGUGACUGUUGAAUAUUGAGUUGUUAUUGAGAAUGUGUAAACUGAUAGAGUGUGGUUAUUGAGUUUUGCGUUUGGUAAACUGUAAACUGUUAGACUGUAGCGUGGAGGUUUAGAUAGGGUGUAA